AAGAGCACCAGCUCUGGAGGGAUCCGGUUAUUUCCGAGCCAGGACGCCGCCCUGGGUCAGCGCGGGGGAGCCCUCCGGUCCGCGCUUCCGGACCGCGUAAACGCGCCCUCCCUUCGCGUCACGUUACUUCUGCACCAGAGGGACGGGUCUCGCGUAGGGGGUGAGGUGGGCGAGGACAGGUGGGGGCUGUCAGUGGAGGCACCGGGAGUGCUGAGGCCGGGGCGCCCCUCCAGCCCCGAACUUACCUUCGGAAACUUCGAAGUCGGCGGUCCCAUUGAGCUGGCACAGGCACCAGGAGGCUUGGUCGGCGGCGGCGGCUCCGGCAGGCGCGGCGGGGGCGCGGCCAGCUGCAAAACAGCGAGGGCGCGGGCGAAGCAGCUCCCCUUUUGGGGGAAUUUCCCCUUGGCCAUGUGGACACAGGAGUGCCACCAGUCACAGCGUCCCGCCACCCCCAUACAGUUGUGGGGAUCAGUGUUUGGCAGUCUUGCCUGCUGACAGUUCUCUGCUGGGUUCCUCUCCAGGACUUGUCCUCAGCUACAGAGCUGCCUUACCCAAGGUCCCGCCUGUACAAAAAGAACGUUUCCCUGCGGCAGCUCACAUCCAAUGAUGCUCUCUGCAGGGGAGUCAAGGCCAGGCUUCCUUGCUUCAAGUGGGACAGUUUGGAAGCACCAUCCAGCUCCAGGGCUUCUUGAGGGCUCAGCUGAGACCUGUGAUGUGAUGCAUAAGCCUGCAACAUCUCCUUCUCCCCCAUCGUGCUUCCUUCCCCACCACUGUCCAAAGAGCCCUCCCCCUCCCACUAAACUUCCUGCCUGCAAAUUCCCAUCUCCCAGUCUGUGUCCCAGGAACCCAACCCACAACAGUGGGUACCAGGAGUGCUCUGAGAAGGAGAAAGCAGACUCCGACGUGGAUUUGGGGCUGGUUCAUCUGCUGACCAGCUGGCAACAAGGUCUCCAUCACAGUGGGAGGGCACAGGGAGUGACAGCAAGGAGGAAGCUGUUGACUGUUGACAUGCUCGCCGGUGGAGAACUGGGAAGUUCUGCUGGCAGAAGCCAUGUGUCAGGGUUUGGGGGAAAAGAAAUCAUGACUACGUGUAUGGAAUUUUAUGGCUCUCCCUUGGGGCUAUCAAUGCUUUGGAGAAAGACUUGGAAAAGCAGAGGGCGAAUAUUCACCAACUGAAGGCCACAUGGGAAAGCCAGAGGACCUCCUUGGCAGCAUAUAAAGAAACUCAUCUUCUGGAAGGCAGAAAAAACUGAAAACCAGCCCAGGACGUAGCUCCAAGAGAGCAGAGUUCCAGAGGAGGCUGUGUUCCCCACUUAGCCUUGAGAAGGAACAGGACCCCACAAAGAGUGGGACGGGAUGUCUGGGUCAAUGCCCACAUAAAAUUGUGAUUUCCCCAGUUUCCCCGAAACUACUGGACCUGCAGAAGUGGCCACCUCUUCCCAUAAAGGUGAGCACUUUGCUGGAAGAUGCUGCCGAGGCCUCUGUCCUGCAACUGCUCCAGGCUGCCCUCAGCACCCACCCCCACUGCCCAUCCUGGCCAUCAGGUGAGGUAUAAAUGACGUCAUAGCACCACCCAGCUGGGAACCAGCUCGGCCUGCGAAGGGAGGACAGGACUCUACCUGGAAGGAGCUGAGGACCCACCAAAGGGACCUAACACCCUGGCAAGGAUGCUCUGCUAGUCUGCUGUUUGGAUGGUUCUGGAAGCUUGGAGAAAGCGUCGGCCCACACUAAGUGAAGAGACACACCAGGCCCCCCGGUGGCAGAUGCUGGAAGGAGAGACGGAAAGAGUCAGCGCAGAGGCCCAAGCUCAAGAGGAGAUACUGUGUGCUGGGGGUUGAAUUGUGCCGCCCAAAAGCCACGUUCAAGUCUUAACCCCCAGUCCCAUGAGUGUGAACUUAUUUGUAAAUAGGGUCUUUGGUGAUAUGAUUAGUUAAGAUGAAGCCAAACUGGAUUAGGGCAGGCCCUGAUCCCAUGUGAUUAGUUGCUUUAUUUCAGGAGUAGCUUAGCAAGGUAUCUCUAGCUCACAGUCAUUUGGGGAGCUCAUUACAAUAACUGCAGCAACCUUGCUCCUGAUGGUUAAGUGCGGCCCCCGGCCUCAUAUUUCUGCAAAACAUUAUUCACGUUGCUAGCAGGGAGCCAGUUUCUGUUACCUGCAGAGGACAGCCCCAGGUCUGAGCUUUUGGGGGGCUUGGGAAGUGAAGUGUCCUCUGGGCUCUCCUGUGGAGCACAGGUGCCUGGUGGAUUUUCUGGCCUUUCACGGUAUUUUCUUUUCCUAGGGCUGUUGUCACAAAUUACCACAAACCGGGUGGCUUAAUAGAAAUGUACCACCCCAUGGUCCCAGCGGGCAGGUCUGAAGGCAUCAGGAGGACCGUGCUACCUCUGGAACUUGUAGGGAAGGACUCUUCCUUGCCUCUUCCCAGCAUCUGGGGGUUUGCCGGCACCCCUAACCCUAACCCUUGGCUCACAGCCACAGCACCUCACUCUGCCUCUGCUGUCACGUGGCCUUCUCCCCUCGUGGUGUGUGUCCAAAAUCCCUCCAGAACCGCAGCUCCGGCUCUGCUAGAGAAUGCCAGUCAGAGACCCCGCCAUUUGGUUCUCAGACAGGACACCCCAAGCUGCAGAUGCCCUGCUUGCUAGGGAAGAAUGGGGAGGCCCCAGGCAGCACGCACGCCCCAAGAGGCUGUAUCUGCAAGACUGCACCCCCGCCCCACCCCUCCACGGAUGAGCAGCAGAGAAACGGACAUUUCCAUCUUACUGCAUUUCUCACU